CAACCUCUGACGAUAAUCGUGAAUGUUG
rfam:Nonlabens dokdonensis DSW-6, complete genome.